AAGGAAGGCUGCUUGUGAUCCUCUCAGUAGAAAAUUGUCACCAUAACUGGAGGCUUUAUGGGGAUCACUUAAAAUGUACAUUUAAAACUAAUAAAGGCAUAAAGAAUGUUCAAUGAAAGAAUAGCAGCAUUGUCGCAUAGCAAGAAUCGUCUCAGGAUCAUUUUCCCCCCUCUCACAAAAUGGACAUUUAUAAGUAACCUUUCCUCUCUGGAUAAUUAAACCUGUCUGCUGAUUUGGCCGGUUAUGAACCUUUCCUGAAUCAUCUGGGAUCAUUAGAAGAACACAGGAACCUCACUGU